rnacentral:rRNA from 1 species
CACGUAGGAGGCGAGCGUUGCCCGGAAUCAUUGGGCGUAAAGAGCGCGCAGGCGGCUUGGCAAGUCGGGGUGUGAAAUCCCCGGGGCUCAACCCCGGGACUGCAUUCGAUACUGUCAGGCUAGAGGUAGGUAGGGGAGAUCGGAAUUCCUGGUGUAGCGGUGAAAUGCGUAGAUAUCUGGAGGAACACCGGUGGCGAAGGCGGCAUCCUGGACCAACACUGACGCUGAUGAGCGAAAGCCAGGGGAGCAAACGGG